UCCCUGCCAGGAUUCAGAAAAGGGGGGGUGAGCCGCGCCUGGGCUGGGCGAGGCCUCAUCCUCAGCGCCAGCCACGCAUGACGCAUGGCUUCCCCGCGACGCCCGAGGCGCCGGGCACCCUCCGUCCUCCCGCCCAGCCCUCCAGGCUGCAUCGCCACAGAACGCAGCAUGUCUCCAGGGGCACGGUCAUUCUACCCAUUUCAAAAAGACGAGGUGGAGAAUUUAACAAGUACCUGCUAAGUAACUGGGUUUUCCGUGCAAUUCUGGUUCACAGAGACUUGCGGCAGCUUUUGCUCUGCGAAGGACAGGAAACAGCAAAACACGCAGAUGAAACGUGUGUGAGGGCAGAAAUGACAACACGACCCGUGUUGUUGUCACACCCAAGAGCAGAAGAUACAAUGACUCACACUUUUUAAGCCUGUAUAGAUUGUAAAGCCUUUUCCCAGUUACAGGUUUGCUGAAAAUUCCAAUUCUCAUCACCUUUCAGGCCAAUGAAGCACUAAUGAAUUUCCUUCAGAAAGCAGACAUACGCCUAAGAUGACUUUCAGUGCAUUUGUUUUCUUCUGCGUGGUCAGAAUGGAAAUACAGAUUCCUCUGAUUUGCAGUAGUUAUUUGCGGUAGUUUACAAAGUCAUCAUGAGUACUAAGUUAGUGAUACUGAGCCAUCGCCCCAGGGGAGUGUGUACACACACACACACACACACACACACACACACACACACGUCUCACAGAUCUUGUAAUCUUAGAUCCUAAGGCAAUGUGCAACUUAUCCUGGGAGAUCAUAUUUUCUUCAUAUUUCAAAAGCAAAAACAAGGCUCACAGGUGUUAAGUGAUUUGCCUAAAGCUGCCCCUAUAGCAGGUACGAGAAUGGGAUUCAAACCCCGUCCGACCGGCACCACAAGCCAGAGCUUCCUGCACUGCAGUUGGCCCUACCUCUCCAUCUUCUGGGUGUCUGUGUAGGAGCCAGAGCCAGAGACAGAGCCAGAGACAGAGGUGGAGACGGAGACAGAGAUGGAGACAGAGACAUGAGGUUGGAGUGUCACCCUUAGCGGGGUGCAGAUCACACACACAGAGCCGGUGAACAUUUAGGUGUGAGGGGGUAUCCCAAAGUCCCGUUCAGGAAAAAUUGUGAAGGACCUGAAAUGCCUUCCAGCGACCACGACGUCCCUUCCGGAGCAACCCUCCUGGGCCUCGGGCUCCCGGGUUAGUUCCUCACAGCCUCUGAGCUCAGAAGGGAACGGGCAUGACGCAGGCACCGAGGCCGGUUACGAAUUCAGGUCAGAGCCGAAUUCAGCUCCAGAAAACCUGAAGUCGAGAGAGGCUAUUUGCUUCUUUCCUAAAAUGUUGGCUGGCUCUUCCUCUCUUCGAGUUUUAAUGAUGUUCUGUACAAUGUGUGUCUAGUACUCGUUGCACGGUCACUCUGUGGGCAGCAUCCUAACCCUCACCGCACAGACCCUCGCCAGACCUCCGAGGCACGUCCAGGUGUCCACGCCGCCCAGGGCAGUGGCAGGUGAGCCGGGGAGCCCGCACCCACCGCCCCAGGCUCAGGGCUCCUGCGCGGCCCUGGCUGGGGGUGCCGUCCGCACACCUGCGCUUCCCCGCGUGGCCGCCGGGGGGCAGCAGGGCCUCUAGGAAAAGCGAUAGGAGGGGACGAUUUUCCCUCCAUCUCGUUUGUACGGCUGGGGAAACAUACAGAAGAGAAGAGCUCAUCGUGUGGGGCCCAGUUACCAUCAUCAAGCCAGAGAGCUCGAAAGCAGAGAACUCUGAGACGGCAAAGGCAGGUGGAGGGUAUUUCUCCCCAGCGUUAGCCCAGGUGGUGGGGAGAAAGCAGAUGCGGCAGAGCUGUCUCGCCGGCAAGACACGCGUAGGUGUGGUCGAGCGUAAUCUACGUGCUUUGUCGCACCUCACGUUUUAGUUGCUUCAUCAGUUAUUUUUAGAGUUUUUCCCCGCGGGCAUUGUUUUUCCUUCCUCCUAUAUUACAACAUCUUCUACCUUUGUAAAAAAGAAGGCAUAUGUAUUUAAUUUUUAAAUGCUCCAGAAAACUGCUGUCUUAACGAGCCGGCACGUGCGAGACCCAGAGGCCGUGAAGACGUGGCUCCACCUGCAAACCCGGGGCAGGAGUGGGGACGCAGGGGGCUCAGAGCCCGGUCAUCUGAACGGGCGCUGAGGUCAAAGGGGAACCUGGGUACUGAGGAAGGACAAAGAAGCGGGUUGGAGACUCAGGUCUCCUGACAUUCUGCCCCUGGUCGCUGCACAGGGGAGGGUAUUGAGGAAGAAGAAAGGCAGACCUCAGACGCCUCUCCUCUUCCCCGGGGUCUCCCUCGCACCACGGGAAACACGGUUUGCACGCGCACAGCAUCUUAAUCUCUCCCAGAACCUGACCCAUGCAACACAGACCUAGCCCAUCCCUAGAAUUACAGACAGGAAUCUCCCAGAAAACCUAACUCUGGAGAGCCAAGAAGUCGCGGGGUGGCGCGAUGUGUGCAGGACGCCUGUCUGCAGCGUGUGCCCCAGCGGUGGGCCUGGUGUUGAGGGAGGACACGCAGAGAGAGGCAGGGAGGCUGCGGUCCGGCCUCCCGUCCCGCACGGGGGACACGGGCCCAGGUAAGUGGAGGGCUUAGGCAUGAAGAGAUGCAGCAGUGUUUGUGCCACAGUCCACAAGUAUCAGUGAAAGGUUUUCUUUUUUCUAAUGGCUGCUUCCUACGUGAUGUAGUAACUUUAACAACAACAAGCUUCUCAUUACAUUCCUUGCUGGAAAUGAAGGAGGGAUAGACAGAAGAUACUAAGUGUGGAGACGCUGUGUUUGAACCACCAGGAUGGGACCGCGGCUGCUGGGGGCUCUGACUCACUUUGUGUCCGGCGUGGCCGAGGCGUCCACCCUGUGCUUCGCCCUCAGACACACACUCUGCAUCUUCACCGCAGUAGGCAGGGGCGCCACGACGCAGAACAGGGAGAGCCGAGGGGGCAGGGCGGCUCCCGACGGGGCCCUCCUCUUCUGCCCGAACAGGAAUUUUAGUUUCCCUUGAAACUGCAUCGUCUGGUGUUUCAAAGACAGAAGCGAAGGCAUGUUCACAGAGUGAAUCAUCGACGCGGUCAAAGGCCGUGGAGCUCACAUUCCCGGGGACAGAAAGCCAGAGAGCUCUGAUCCCGAGUCUCUGAGGAGCCAUGAACCAACGCGCCUUCCACGCUGGCCCUUGGGACAGGCGCUCCCUACCGCCUUUGAAUGACUCGGGGUUUCGCUAGCAUCCCCGUAACAUCCUCUAACCUUCCAGUGUGUUCUCAUGUGUGCACUCAUGGGUGUGAGGGCGUGCGAGCCCUCACUCGGGGGUGUGAAUGUGCAUGGACUUGGCCGGAGCCACCAGGCAGCCCCCCAGGAGGAUUUGCUGGAGCAGAUCAUCUCUGAGGACUGUUCUACAUUAACCGUCCACUUCCAAAUUGUCAUUCAUUGACAAUUGUCAUUCAUGGUGAUAAAA